rnacentral:lncRNA from 1 species
GAAAAAAGUAGAAAAUUAACCAAUACAUAGUGAGGCAAAACUUACGACAGCUUGGAAAAAUUCAGUGACACUUCCCAACUCCAUCAAUUUCAUCAAUCAGGUUAGAGUAAUCUUUAACACCAUCAAUAACCAUCUCAUCAUAUGAACGGAAAGAAACUUGAUUUUCUUCUAGCAACAUUAUCCUAUAAAAUUGGAAACAAUAAAAAUUACGUACGGAAAGCAAAUGUGCUAAGCUACAAUAGUUAUCUAGCAACACAAGGUGAGUACAUGAUUUAUAUGAAAUGUGCUUCCACAUAUGGAAUAUCAUUUAUCAAUAUGAAUAACAUAUCUAAAUGCACACGGAUGGAUAUACUUUCCACGCUCACAAAAAUCAUUUUUCUCCCGGACACCUUAAAUAAAAUAGACACAAGCAACAAAUAACAUAAAACCUCUUUUCCCGAAAUUUCUCGUAUGAUCUUCCAACUACAUGAUCUACAUUAUCCAGUUAUCAUCUAAGUACAUAAUAAUCAAUGAUCAUAAAGCAGUAAUACUUUUACAACAAUUCCAAAAUAAAAGGAAGCUAAGAGAUGAUAAAUAUUCACCUUUUGAUAAAAUAAUUCAAUUUUACUCUGCAAUCCAGGAGAACAAGUUUAACAUCCAAAUAGCAUUUGCAUCAUGGAAAACUUUUAAUUUUAACUUGAUGGCUUAUCAAUACAGUAAUAUCAAUUUUCAAAAUAUCAACAAAUAAUUGGACAUCUUUCACAUUUUUUAACAGUUGAACUCCCCGGAAAUACAAUUUGGUAAUAAAAAUCCCCAGGGAAUUGCCAAAUUGAAGGCAGUUCUUACCAUAUCCAAA